AAGUGAUAGAGCCAAUGAUGCUUCCGAAAAGCCACCACAUAUUCUGCGUUCUCGUACAUCUUCUGAAAAUGAAAAAUCUGCAUCGGAGCGUAGGUCACUGGCCACUCGAAGUAAUAGAGGCAAUGAUGCUUCUGAAAAACCAUCUCAUAUUCUGCGUUCUCGUACAUCUUCUGAAAAUGAAAAAUCUGCAUCACUGUCAAGGGCCAGUCGAAGUGAUAGAGGUAAUUUAAGUUUUCAUAUACCGUAAACCGGGGCGAGUCUACCCAUUUUUUC